GGGAUACAUGUCUGGGCGCGUCGUCCCACCUGAUGACGACAGCGGCCAUGGAACCCACACGGCGAGCACAGCUGGAGGGAAUUUUGUGGAUGAUGCUCACGUACUUGGCAUGGCACGCGGCACGGCCUCAGGGACGGCACCUAAAGCUCAUCUAGCAAUCUAUAAGGUGCUACACAAUAACAAAACUGCUACCGGUACAGUUGCCAAAGCGCUUGAUAGUGACACAUUGAGGGGCAUCGACGAAGCCAUCCGGAAUCACGUGAAUGUGCUAUCCAUGUCCCUCGGGAAGGUCAAGAAACCGCUGUAUAAGAACGGCAUUGCCAUAGGAUCAUAUGUGGCAAUCACCAAAGGGAUCGUCCCGGUGGCCAGUGCCGGAAACGAAGGCCCCUAUGAAAGCCUCAUAGGGAAUGAUGCGCCAUGGAUACUUACCGUCGGAGCAAGCACUACGGACAGGAGGAUAAGGGCCAUUGUCAAGCUCGGAAAUGGUAUGGAGCUCUUCGGCGAAACAGCAUACCAGCCAGAGGGAUUCAACUCGACUCAGCUACCGUUGGUUUAUCCGGGGGUGCGGAAGACGCGAAAGACCUUGAAUUGCAUGAACGGCUCCAUGGACACUUUUGAUGUUAAAGGGAAGAUCGUGUUGUGCGGGGUUGGACAAAUUUCAAGCACCGAAAAGGGUGAGGUCGUUAAGGCAGCAGGCGGUGCUGCGAUGAUAGUAAUGAACCGGCCAUGGAACGGGAGCACAACGCCCGCCAAACCCCACAUCAUCCCAGCGGCCCACGUGAGCUUCACCGAUGCGUGGAAGAUCGUCACGUACUUCAAUUCCACGCCCAACGGAACGGCAGCAAUCAUCUUCAACGGCACACGAGUUGGCGUUCGACCAGCACCCUCGGUGGCUUCCUUCUCGUCGCGAGGCCCCAGCCUCAUGAACGGCAACAUCAUCAAGCCGGAUGUCAUCGCACCGGGCGUCAAUGUUCUAGCUGCUUGGCCAUUCGAGGUAGGACCUAAACCCAACCACCACCUUCGAGCCUCAUCUCACACCUUCAACUUUAAUUCGGGAACGUCGAUGGCGACCCCUCACGUGGCUGGCAUUGUGGCGAUGUUAAGGAAUAACCAUCCUGAUUGGUCUCCCGCAGCCAUUAAGUCAGCGAUCAUGACCACAGCUUACACAGUCGACGCCGAUAGGAAUCCUAUCGGCGACGAUUUCAACUCCACGGGGACACCAGCUAGUGCAUACGCCAUGGGCUCGGGCCAUGUCGACCCAUCAGCAGCCAACGAUCCGGGCCUCAUCUAUGACCUUCAUCACUAUGAUUAUAUCCAUUACCUCUGUGGCAUGGGCUUCACCGACAAACAAGUCGGAGCCAUCGGUGGCGGUUCGGUGCAGUGUUCUAAGGUCCGGGCAAUCAGCCCCGAACAGCUGAACUAUCCUUCUAUUGCGGUGUACCUAAGUGCUAAUACGACCGAGGUGACUGUCAACCGAACGGUGACGAAUGUCGGGGACGCCGUUACAACCUACAACGUGAAGUACGACGAACCGGAAGGAGUGAGAGUCGACGUUGCGCCUGAUAGGCUGCAAUUCUCCCGAUCCAGGCAGAUGAAGGAUUUUCGAGUCACGUUGAGCAUCAAGCCGGGGAGACCAACAGUUAGGAUGGCAGGGCAAGUUUUUGAGGGGCAAAUGGCGUGGGUCUCCGGAAAGUACUACGUAAGGAGUCCUAUUGCCGUCACAAUCCAGUGAAACACGAUCGUAGUUUUAAGUCCCAUGUGCAAAGCAACAUACUAGUUCUUCCCCAGGCGUAAAAGAAAGAAAAAAGAAAAAAAAAUAAUAUAAAAUAAAUAAAAACAUGUCGCCCACCAAAAAACUCUACUCCGUGGAAACUAAGAUUCUUCUUCUUUUUCUUGUUUCCUUUUCUUUUUCUUUUUUUAAUGGCACUGUGGUGAGAACAAAUCCACCUAAUUAGGCUGUUCGUGUUUUUGAACUUUGGAUCGGGAGAAAGCAAAAUAAAAAAAAUUAUUGGUAGAUCAGAUCAUAUCUGUUUUCUAUCUCAUCUCAACUUAAUGCAAUUCCUACCAUUCGUUGAAUAACUUGGCUAGAUGCAAUGGGACUAGGCCUAGUUUUAGACUUUUGAGUGGAUGCCCACUCCGAGAAGCCCACUACAAUCCAUUGGUCGUGAGUCAAUGGCUCAAUCGAGUAAAAUUAUUGCCUUUAGUAACCGUACUAGUUAUUAAAAAGGUAAACCAAGUUUAGGCCCAAAAGAGUUGUGAAAACAAAAGAUUGUCAAAUUACACCCAUAUUCUGCCAACCUCGACUAGGGAUGGAAACGAGCCGAGCUCGAGCGAGCUUAUGUCAGCUCAAAUUUAGCUUGAAAUUAGUUUCGAGCCUAAAUCUAGGCUCAAGCUCGGCUUGAAAUUAAUUCGAGCCGAGCUCGAGUGAGCCUAAUUUCGAGUCGAGCCGAGCUCGAGCUCUAAACGAGCCGAUUGAAAUUCUCUACAUUAUAUAAUCAAUAGUUUAAUUUUUAUAGAACAUUACCUAUAAUUUGAUGCAACAUAUUCAAUAGUUCAAAAUACAAAAUAAUUAUAAGAAAUGUGAGCUAGGGUGACUGUCUGACUGGAUGAGGGUUAGAGAGAGAGAGAGAGAGAGAGAUGGGAAAAAAUUAGGGAUUUGAAAAUUUGAAUGUUAUCAUGUUUUAGAGUUAUGUGCAACAGUGAAAGUCUGAAAGAGAGAGUGUGUUAUGUAAUUUAGAGUUGGGCUCUAUUGCAUGGUUGUACUUGUUGGGUUUAUUUUAUGGGCCAACAAUAAUAGCCCAAAUUAAAUUAAAGUCUAUAUAUUAAUUAAAAUACAUUAUAUUUAUAAAUAUUAUAUAUAUAUAUAUUUUCGAGCUUUCGAGCUUUUCGAGCCUAAUUUGAACGAGCCGAGUAAUACUCAAGCUCGGCUUGAAAUGAAUUUCGAGCCUUUUAUUUUGUUCAAGCUCGGCUCAUUUAAUUUCGAGUCGAGCUCGAGCGAGCCGAAUAUCGAGCCGAACACGAGUCGAACGCGAGCCGGCUCGCUCGUUUGCCAGCCCUACACCUCGACAACAGUUAACUUAAACAUUUUUCAAGUAGCAUAUACUAAACCAGUAAAUACAAUUAUAAAAUUAAAAGUUAUUAAUUAAAAGUAAAAAUGUCUGAAGACCCCCUCAAACUAUAAAGGCAUCUUAAAACAAGCCCGCAUCAACUUGCUUUUUUUUUUUUCUUUUAUUUACAAACCUCCUUACUGUCCCGAUUAUUUAAAAUUAAGUGAUUUUUCGCGAAAUAAAUUAGAGGCGUUUAUCAAGUUUCAUCUAUGGUCUCAUUAAUUUAAUAAUUAUAAAUUAUUUUUUAGCAAAUACAAUUAGGAUGAUCAAUGGCUAAUUUCUAAAUGAGCUAUUAUUUUUUAAAAAAAAAUUAGCUAAAUUUAAUUAGAACAACUUUAAAAAAUUAGAAAUUUACUGCAGGUUCCAUUCCCAAAAGGUUAAAGGAGCGCUAUUUUAUAGUUGAGGGAGGCCUACACAGCAAUUAUAUCUUAAUUAAUAACACUAUAGAACUAUCGCUGAUCGGAAACUCCAUGUCGAGGGAGGAGAAGAAGGAGAAGGAGAAGGAGGGUGUGUUAGUGAUCUCGAUCUCGUCCACGUCUUCGUCCUCGUCCUAUGGCGAGGAAGAAGAAGAGGAGGAGGAGGUGGAGGUGAGGUCGGCGGAGGAGAAAGGGAGGGACGACGAUGAGUGUUGCAUACUCCCCUCCGAUCCCUUCGCCGACGAUCUCAUCCUCAACCUCUCGCUUUGCCAACGCAACGACGACGGCGAUGAUCUCGCCAUUCUCUUCGUACGAGGCCAAGUAAUCGAUUCUCUUUACUUCCCCUUUCGCUCCUUGGUUCCUACUUUGCACUAUUGGUUCGUGUUAAAUAAUUUUUCCUUAAUGGAAAGAUCAUAUGAUUGACAUUUUAGGAAACCCUAGUUUACAACGAGGAAUUAAGUUCUAACCUUAGUAUCUAAGUUUUAAAGAACGGUAAAAGGGGUACUUUUCCUUUCCGAAAACCAGGAUCUGCGGGUUUUACCAGUGUAUGAAAUUGCCAGAUGUUGUAUUUUCUUUUUCCCCUUCCUUUUUGGGGUUUUGUCUCUGCAGAUUUAUUGUGACGUGGUGAAACUAAAUUGGUAGUAAAAGAACUUGUAAUUUAGUAUUGAUUAACCCUGGCGACACCCAUAAUUGAAGAUAGAAAUGCCAUCUCAUUUUCGCUUAUGUGUACGAUAAGUUUUCCGUCAAGAGUACCACAAAACAACUAUAAUAUUGUGAGAAUUUCUUUUGGAAUCAUUGAUAUGGAGUUAAACUGUUGGAGUUCAUCAACAUGUAACAUUCUUUUUUUCUAAAAAAGAGUUUCCUGAAGUUGAUCGUAAGAAUUUCUAAUUUCUACGAAAUGCAGGUGGCUUGUAGAGAUCUUCCCCACCAAAGAAAUCUCUGUGCAGAAUAUCCCUUUAGCAAGACACCUCAUGAGAGCUAUUGUCCGAAGGUAGCCUGAUCCAUCUCUUAUAUUCAGCUGAGGUGGUGCAAAUGGAUUUUAAUCUAAUUUGAUUAACAAGUUUGAAUUUGGAUAUAAUGGUUUUUGUUUUCCUAUUACAUUGUUUAUUGGUAGUAGAUUCCCCAGUAGGGUUAUAUAAAGGAAGUUGAUGCCAUUGUCAAUGCCAAAAAUUUUAAGUUAGAAUGUGUUAAUAAGAUUACUUUUAAUAAUAUUAGAUAUCUUACUGUGCUCAUGUUGGAAUGUGUCACAACUGAUUAGAAGUAAUGCUUCUUUUCAUCUUCGUGAAUUCAUGAUUAUUUUCACAACUACUACUUUAUAAUUUAGACAUAUGCUCGAUGUUACAUGUUGUGUUAUCAAUUGGUGUGCGACAAGUAAGAGCAAUUUCUAUGGUGUUUCAACUGUAAGACGUUUAGAGAUAAUCGUGUGGAUCUUUUUUCUAGCUUAGUUAUAAAGAUAAUGGUAGAUUAAGCAAGUAAUCUUGGUAAUUAUUUGAAUGUAGGGAGGCCAUUGCAGAAUCUGUUUAUGACUCCUGCUCUUCUUUACGGUUGCUACCUUUUCAAACUUGAAAUCUAUCUUAAGUUUCUUGUAAGUUGGCAACCUUAAUAUGUUGUUGACAUCUUUUUCUUCUUUGGGCUGAACAAAAACCUAGUAAUUUCUGCUUGUUCAAUUAAACAGAAAGGGCCAAAGAACAAUCUACAAGCUUGACAUAAUGUCGAGAAAAAUAAAAUAGAAUUGUGCUAGAAUAUUCGAUCUUAUUCACAGGGAUUCUUAAAAAUAUCAUACUAAAUAAAAUGAUUAAAAUAUGUUACAACUAUCAAACUAUCUGUUUGCCUUUCUCAUACAUAAAGGCAUAUUGGGUUCUUAUUUGAUAUUAUAGAAACUCAUGACUUCUCAAUGAUGUUAUGUAGUAUUCUCUCAUUUAGUAAUCAAUUGCUGCAGUGUUUCUGCUAUGUCUGCGAGAAAAUAGCUCCCUGUGAGGCUUGGAAGGGACCUCUAGGACACUGUCAUGCAUCUGACCAAGAAAAGAAAUGGAAGGAUAUGAGGAAAGCUAGGCAAUCAGCUCAAGCACAGGAAAUUAAGCCUUGCUCUGAAGUGUAAGAUCCCCUGAGCACCUCAUCUAUAUUUGCACCUCAUUGAAAUGGGGAUGUUGGCUUUGGAGUAAAACCAUUAAGCAUCACUUCUGGUUAACGGCAUUUUGGGCUCUUUAGGAGCUAAGCUUGGUGCUAGCUGCCUGCACAGUGCACCUCUUAGAGAGAAUGUUGAUUUUUUGAGCAAAUAAUUUAUACUCCACGUACAUGUUUAUGUUUUUGUUUUGACUUUGCAAUUGUAAAGUUCCUGUAGAUUGUAAAUUAAGUUUUACCAUCUGGUUGAUGCCCGAGAAAUCUAUCUGAAGGACUUGAUAGGCUACAGGUGUCGUCUCCUCGCACAUUUUGGGUUUUCUUCUAGUUAUGUGGCUGAUGAGACACAGUUUACUAACAUCUAUAGAAGAGAAGAUAAAUUACUUUGAAGCAGUGAUCAAUGCAUUUUUGAGUGAAGUGCGGGAUAGGGAAUAGUGUUGAAUUAACUAUUCCAAUGAUAAGUUAAUUACUAUUAAUAAGGUUGUUGCCUUUUCAUGACCACUUGAUUUUCCAAUGUAAGGUAAGAAGUGGCUGAACUUCACAUGAAAAUAUCACCUGCUGGGCCUUUUCUCAUGAGCUGGUAAUGCUAGUCUCUUCAUUUUUGUAGUAGCAUGUGAAAUUUGGCAUGCUUCUCUCUUAGCUGAAUGUGCAGUAUUCCAUCUCCAGAUCUACUCUCUUUUAUUUCUGAAGCACAACACUUCAACGUGAGGUAUGUGUGGCUCUUCUUUCUUUCUCUUUUACUCUUUCCAUCUGCAAAGGCAUUUCUGUGUCUACAGUAGAGUAGGAAAGCAAAAAAGGAAAAAAAAAUUAAAUAGUUUUUGCCUUAUUUCCUUUUUUCAUAUGCAUCAUUAUUGGCAUUAUUCCUCUUUGGUGCUUGCUUAACUUGUUUCUCAUUUCACCAUAGUAAAAGUAAAGCAUCUUGCAGAUUGAGGCACAAUGAAGGAGAAAUGGUAAAUAGUAUCUUCUAUUCUUUUUAGUAUUGAAUAAUUCAUAAUCAACUUCAUUUAUCUUCCUUCUAAGCUAUCUUGUAGACAUUUAGGAAAUUAUUUGUGUUUAGAUAUUUGAGAAAAAUGACUUUAACUGCCAUCUGAUGAAAAGUAAAUUCAGGUAUUAUAUGUAAAUGUUACGAAGGAUAGGUGUGAAGAUGAAAUUUGCUAGGUGGGUUUUUCAGUCGGGUCCAAUUUGCUUAGACCCAAAAUAUUUGUUUGGUUGUAACACUAUUUGGCUCAGCUAUCCCUUUAGGUUGAAGCCUUAGAGAGCUUUAGAACAGCAUAUGUAUUAACUUCAUCGCAUCCUGCAAGAUAAUAAGAUGACUUGUGUCUUUUACGUUGAAAGUUGAUUUAUAGUUUUUGACAAUAAGAUAGCCACUUAGGCCAAAGUCGGAAUAAGUUAUCCAAGGAUUGCUUAUUCAGUAUAAGGAUUUUCUAAAAUGAUUGUAAAAAAGAAGUUUGGUUUUUUGCUUCUUAAAAGAUUUUGAUAUUCACGAUCUGGCAGAAUAACAUAUUUUACUUGUAAGGUGAUAUAUUUUAUCUGAAAAAAUAGUUUGAAGGCCGAAUAAGUAUUCAAUUCGAGACAUUUGAUCAUACUCCUUAUUUACCAAAUGUACAAUCUUCUCAAGUAAAUCAUGAAAUUAUUCCUUUGAUGGAGAGCAUUGUGUUAAAAGUAAUAGCAGGGAAGAUGUUUUAGAUUUCUUUUCAUAUGAGACUGAGCAAGUGUUCUCAUGUAAAGAGAAAGAUGUGGCGGAUUCUGCAAUUCAACAAAAUGUGACAGCAAUGGGGGACUCCUAACAUGAUAUUUGCUACAGACCCGUGCCAUUUUCCAUUGUGAGACCUUUUUUAGGAUUCUACUCUGCUGACUCCUUGAUGCAUAAUGUGAUCUAUAAAGUUUUCUUUUGAUUAACUUGGAGAGCUGCAGCUUUUUAGGUUUAACUUCAAAGCUCACUCUUUUGGGUUCAUCAAUUUGCACCCUGUGAAGGUUUUUUUUGCAUCCUCUGCAUUCAUUGCCAUCUGAUUAAUUAUGAUUUUUGUGGAAUUUGCAUUAAGGUAUACUCGUACAAUCAUUAUUAUCUUAGAUCAAGAGAAAUGGCCUUAACUUCUGAAGUCUUACUUGUUAGAGGCUGAACCGAACUCUACUCCAAAUACAGUACCUACCCUUCAAUUCUUAGAUUAGGUUUCUUGGUUACACUUUUCUAUAAUGCCAAAAAUUUUCUGUUCUACCUUAUUUUAAACAAGCCAAGUCGAAGUAGAAUAUGAUUCAUAGUGUGGUAGAGAAAGAAAAAAUAGUAAGAGAUAGUGAUGACAUUAAGUGGUCCUAAAAUGAGUUCAUUUACCAGGAGUUACUAUGUUGUUAUGUGGUGCACUUGCUUGAUAAAUUGAUCACUUUAUGUAUCUAUGCUUUGUUGCGAGCCUGCUAAACAAAUUGAUCAAAUGUUAGAAAAUGCAGAGAAUCUUUUAAGAUACGGCUAUUAAACCAACUUAUUUACUUAAAAAUUUAUUUAAAAAUUCGGUCUUUUUGAAGCUUCUAUAGAACUGUUAUUUGUAUAGUGUUAUAGAACUGUUGUUUGUAUAGAGUUUGAAUAGUUUCUAAUAGGUAUCUACUGAAGCAUCCUCUCCUCCGUCUUGUCAUGUGAUGUAGCUGUAGAACUGUUUCUUGACUAUUGUAAGUUGACGGUGGAAAUAUACUUAAAUAAUAUUUAUUUAAGAGAAGGCCAUUUUAAGAAAGAAAAAGUUAACUUUAAUCAUUUAACUAAUGGAGAGGGUGUAUUUCCAAACUAUGCACUAUGGAGAAACAUGUUUCAUGACUAAAAUUUUGUAGCAGUAAUGCACUUUACAGUGAUACUAUGCAUUAAAAAAAGUUUGAAAAAAGAAUAUCAUGCAUAUAGGUGAUUGUAAUUAGUAUAACUGGGGAGAUUUUCCAGAUUUUCCUGUGCGUAUAGGCAAGUGCACGGGAACUUUGGCGUUAGCACGUCUUCUAUAAAAGGGUGAAUAAGCUGGUGCAUCUAUUAUUGCGUUCAACCAAAAGCCCGUAUUGCUAUUGUUAUUGUAUUGCAGGUAUAAAUGUAUGUAGUUCAAAAGCACUCGACUUGGAACUAGGAAGAAGAAAACACUUCUGGGUCUUUGGAUUCACCUAGCACGAUUAGAGAGAGAAAGAGUUCACUUAUUGCAUUUUAUAAUUGAUAUAAGUGUGCCGCAUGGCAUCCUUACUACGGAUCAUUAUUUUUUUGAGAGAAAGACAGCACGAUACUUACUUCAUUCAUUAGAUAAAUAAAUUUAACUAUAUAGAGUGAGACUGCUAAGACCUUGAAAAAGACGAAAAAAAUAAGAGUAAAAAGAACUAAAAAGAAAUAUUAGAGUAAAAGUAAAAACAAAACGUCAAAUCGAAGGGUAUAGCAAACACUGAUGUCACUCGGUUCUAUAAAAAUCUGUCCACUUUUUUGCCAACACUCCAAAUACUACGGAUCAUUAUUAGAUAUCUAAAAUGUAACCUGUUUGCUAUAAUUAAUCAAAUUAUAUCUUGCAAAGAUUUGUCCAUAGUUAAUUUGUCCACUAUUUGGUCUUUGUUACAUCUUGAUGCCCUCGGAAAGAAUAAUGAUGCAGAUGAUUAUUUUUCCUAUUUAAGGUCCACUUGCCUCUCCUCUUUGCAAGCACAUUCUAUUGCCUUGCUAGUUGCUACCAUGGAUAUUGUACAUUCGGUCUUCUACUUGCUUAUUUCUUUUUCCUUCUUCCUAUCCAAUCCAACUCUUCUCUUGGUUCACUCCCAACUACAGCCCAUUUCUAAUGACACCCAAAUGCAGGUCUAUAUUGUUCAUGUACAAAAGCCUGACAGCACGAGCUUCCGUCGGUUCAAGGAUCGGAAAGAGUGGUACGCGUCCUUCUUGCCCAACACCACCCUCGACUCCGGCAAGCCGCGCAUGAUCUAUGCAUACCGCCGCGCGAUCAGAGGCUUCGCGGCGUGGCUCACCGCUCAGGAAGCAGAAGCCAUGAAAUCCAUGGAUGGCGUUCUCGUAGCCUACUCCGACUUCGAGUAUGAUGCUCAAACCACCUACACCCCGCAGUUCCUAGGACUAAACGCAUGGGAGGACGGCAUUUGGUAUGACUCUCAAUACGGAGCGGGGCAAAUUAUUGGGGUCAUCGACACCGGAUUUAAGCCUGGUCAUCCUUCCUUCAGGGAUACCGAUGUAAAUCCGCCGCCUGGGACGUGGAACGGAAGCUGCUACUGGAAACAAUCCGUGUGCAACAAUAAGCUCAUCGGUGCAGUGGGAUACAGGUUUGGGCGCACCGUCUCACCUGAGGACAAUAACGGUCAUGGAACCCACACGGCGAGCACAGCUGCGGGGAAUUUUGUGGAUGAUGCCCACGUACUUGGCAUGGCACGCGGCACGGCCUCAGGGACGGCACCUAAAGCUCAUCUAGCAAUCUAUAAGGUGUUACACAACACCAAAACUGCUACUGGUACAGUGGCCAAAGCGUUUGCUAGCGACACUUUGAGGGGUAUCGAUGAAGCGAUACGCAAUCACGUGAACGUGCUAUCCAUGUCCCUCGGGACG
rnacentral:lncRNA from 1 species